AAAGUGGCAAACGGGUGCGUAACACGUGAACAACCUGCCUUCAAGUAGGGGAUAGCCCGUCGAAAGACGGAUUAAUACCGUAUGUGGUAUCGAAACACAUGUUUCGGUUAACUAAAGCUUGUAAUGGCGCUUGAAGAGGGGUUCGCGGCCUAUCAGCUUGUUGGUGAGGUAAAGGCUCACCAAGGCUUAGACGGGUAGCCGGUCUGAGAGGAUGGUCGGCCACACUGGAACUGAGAUACGGUCCAG
rnacentral:rRNA from 1 species